UACGUAGGGUGCAAGCGUUGUUCGGAAUGACUGGGCGUAAAGGGCGCGUAGGCGGUUCGUACAGUCAGACGUGAAAUUCCCGGGCUCAACCUGGGGGCUGCGUUUGAUACGUGCGGGCUUGAGUUCGGAAGAGGGUCGUGGAAUUCCCAGUGUAGAGGUGAAAUUCGUAGAUAUUGGGAAGAACACCGGUGGCGAAGGCGGCGACCUGGUCCGAUACUGACGCUGAGGCGCGAAAGCGUGGGGAGCAAACAGG
rnacentral:rRNA from 1 species